rnacentral:rRNA from 1 species
CCUACGGGUGGCUGCAGUGGGGAAUAUUGGACAAUGGGCGAAAGCCUGAUCCAGCAAUGCCGCGUGUGUGAAGAAGGCCUUCGGGUUGUAAAGCACUUUCAGUGGGGAAGAAAGCCUUGGGGCUAAUACCCUCGAGGAAGGACAUCACCCACAGAAGAAGCACCGGCUAACUCCGUGCCAGCAGCCGCGGUAAUACGGAGGGUGCGAGCGUUAAUCGGAAUUACUGGGCGUAAAGCGCGCGUAGGCGGUCUGAUAAGCCGGUUGUGAAAGCCCCGGGCUCAACCUGGGAACGGCAUCCGGAACUGUCAGGCUAGAGUGCAGAAGGGGAAGGUAGAAUUCCCGGUGUAGCGGUGAAAUGCGUAGAGAUCGGGAGGAAUACCAGUGGCGAAGGCGGCCUUCUGGACUGACACUGACGCUGAGGUGCGAAAGCGUGGGUAGCAAACAGGAUUAGAUACCCGGGUAGUC